AUAUCUCUCCGUACGGGAAGGAUGAGAAGCUUCGACCAAGGUUCGAUUCGAGCGCAGCGAGAAAGCGUUGCCGCAGGCAA
rnacentral:sRNA from 1 species